rfam:Georgenia sp. STBG003 Ion020_assembly_c592, whole genome shotgun sequence.
GGCGACCCCUCGUGCGGCGUCAUCUUGCCGAACUCCCCCAGGGCCGGAAGGCAGCAAGGGUAGGUGAGCUCUGGCGGGUGCACGGGGGGGUCCUCUCA